AAAAACAUGUCUUUUUGAUAAUAAUUUAAAGUCUAAUCUGCCCACUGAUUUAUUAAAGGGCUGCAGUAUAUUAACUGUACAAAGGUAGCAUAAUCAUUAGUUUUUUAAUUGAAAACUUGUAUGAAAGAUUUGAUGAAAUAUUAACUGUCUCUUAAUUAUUAAUAAAACUUUAUUUUUUAGUUAAAAAGCUAAAAUAAAUUUAAAAGACGAGAAGACCCUAUAGAGUUUUAUAUUUGAGUUUUAUUUUAAAUAUAUAUAUAAAUUAAUAUUAAUAAAAUUAAAUAUUAUAUUGGGGUGAUAGAAAAAUUUAAUUAACUUUUUUUAAAUAAUAAACAUAAAUAAGUGAAUAAAUGAUCCAUUUAUAAUGAUUACAAGAAAAAAUUACCUUAGGGAUAACAGCGUAAUAUUUUUUUUUAGUACAUAUAAAAAAAAAAGAUUGCGACCUCGAUGUUGGAUUAAGAUAAAAUUUAAAUGCAAAAGUUUAAAAUUUUGAUCUGUUCGAUCAUUAAAAUCUUACAUGAUCUG
rnacentral:rRNA from 1 species